ACCAAAGGGAGCCAAGCUAGGCUUUGAACUAAAAGAGGAUUGAAAGCAAGCAGAGCAGCGGCGCCUAUUGUCUCCCCGCUGGUCGGUCGGAGAAUCAUGUCGGCGCGUCGCUCAUUGUCUGGUGAAAUUUCAUCUAUUUACUGGCAACAAAGGAUUCCUUCUUUUGUCUUAUGAGAAUGCAUCAAGAAUAUUAUAUCGUGGGACACAUAACAGACUACUCAGUCCAUGCCAUAGAAUAAUUGGAGUGGAAACAAAAACCAAAUAAGCUCCGCACUCUUAGAGGAGUCUGCCCUCAUCUCCAACGAAAAAGAAGCAAUGUGGAGGCACUAUCACCUGCUAGUUCUGAGGCUAUGUCUUUGAUUAGCAAAUGCUUAACAACUUCUGCUGAACCAUCAUUUUCACUGUCCAUACCGCUUCUGAAUCUGUUGAGAGCGUGCAGAACCGUAAAAAACCUUCAGCAAGUCCACACCCACAUAAUCCAAAAAGGCUACGAGCAAGACCAUUUUAUCAUCAACCAGUUUAUAUCGCUCUGUAACACUUUUUCCUCCGAUGUCUCUUAUGCGACAAGUGUAUUUGAGCAUGUCAUUCAGCCCAAUGUUUAUGUCUGGAAUACAUUGAUUAAAGGGUAUAGCAAACAUUCAUCCUUUGCUGAUUGCUUCCUUAUCUUGAAACAAAUGAAAAGAAGUAUGAAUGUGAUACCUGAUAAGUAUACUUUUCCUUCGCUGGUCAAAUCUUGUUCUAGUGCCUUGGCUUUGAGGGAAGGUCAGUCCGUUCAUGGGUUGAUAGUUAGAUAUGGAACUGAUAGUGACGUGUUUGUAGGGUCCAGCUUGAUUGAUCUUUAUGGGAAGUGCAAUCAGAUUGAGUAUGCACGUAGAAUCUUUGAUGAAAUGCCUCUAAGGAAUGAGGUUACAUGGACUGCUAUGGUCGUUGGCUAUAUAUAUUUUGGUGAUUUAUCGCAAGCGAGGAAAUUAUUUGAUGAAAUGCCCCAUAAAAAUAUAGCCUCGUGGAAUGCAAUGAUUAGUGCAUUCGUGAAGUUUGGUGAUUUGCUUAGUGCCAGGAAAUUGUUUGAUAGUAUGCCUGGCAAAGAUGUGGUAUCUUUUACUACUAUGAUUGAUGGUUAUGCUAAGGCUGGUGACAUGGCAUCAGCGAGGUUCCUGUUUGAUCAGUCUUUUGACAGAGACAUAAUAUCCUGGUCUGCUUUGAUAUCUGGGUACGCUCAGAACGGGCAGCCCAAUGAAGCUCUCAAAAUUUUCCAUGAAAUGUUGUCAAUGAAUGUUAGGCCAGAUGAGUUUAUAAUGGUAAGUUUGAUGUGUGCGUGUUCCCAGUUAGGUCGCCUGGACCUGGCAAAUUGGGUAGAACAUUAUAUGAGCCAGAAUUCAUUUGAUCUUAAUCAAGUGCAUAUAGCUGCAGCCCUUGUGGAUAUGAAUGCUAAAUGUGGGAAUAUGGAAAGGGCGACAAUGCUGUUUGAGGGGAUGCCUAAGCGUGAUCUAGUAUCAUACUGUUCAAUGAUACAAGGCCUGUCUAUUCAUGGUUGCGGUUCUCAGGCUGUAGUUUUCUUUGAUAGGAUGCUGAACGAGGGGCUUGUGCCUGAUGAUGUUUCCCUUAAGGUAAUUCUGACUGCUUGUAGUCGUGCAGAACUUGUUAAGGAGGGUUGCCGCAUAUUUAAUCUAAUGAUAAACAAAUAUCCUGUUAAGCCUUCUCCGGAUCAUUAUGCAUGCGUAGUAGACCUUCUUGGAAGAUCAGGAAAACUUAAAGAUGCGUAUGAACUUAUAAGGUCAAUGCCCAUUGAACCUCAUGCUGGUGCCUGGGGUGCACUUCUUGGUGCUUGUAAGCUACACUGUGACAUUGAGGUAGGGGAGGAAGUAUCCCAUAGACUUUUUGAACUUGAGCCUCAAAAUACUGGUAAUUAUGUACUUUUGUCAGACAUCUAUGCUGCGGCAAAUCGGUGGUUAGAUGUUGCGUUGUUGCGUCAGAAAAUGAGUGAGAAGGGUCUUAAGAAGAUACCUGGUUGCAGUUGGGUAUAAUGUGAUGGCAAUUUGUGGACACUCGUUGAACAAGGAACUACAGAAGGAAAUCAAAGUGGAAAAAGUGGCGAGUUGAACUAAACCAGUUUCCCAUGAGUCAGGCUGCAUACAUGACUGAAAAUUCAGAUUUUUCGCACAUGGAACUGGAUAGUUUACUAUUACAGAGAGGCUUGAUCACUUUGAUUAGUGGGGCAGAUAAGCAUGUAUAUGCAGAUUUAUUUUAAAUCCAGUAGAUUGAGAAGAAAAUUUUCGUGAUACUUGAAUUUUGUCUACUGUGCUGAGCAUCAGACCAUCCGCUUCACUAUUGGUUUCAGACAGGGUUUAAAGAGGGAAAUUCCCAUUGAAAGCCAACAUGCUGAGGAAUUGUUGGUCCUGUUAAAUCAAUUUCGUGCAAUCAAUGUCCAGUUACCGGAGCACUAGUGGAACAGUUUUUGGUUUGGCUUAUAUCAGCUAUUUAGAAAUUAGAGGAUGAAGCUUUGCAGUGCAAGAAGAAAAAAGAAAGGCCUUUAGUUCAAGAAUGGAUCAACUCAUAAACAGCUCCAAUGAAAAAUCGUGGUUUCUAGAUUGACAAUUACAAUUUGAUUAGAUUUAAAUUUCACUUCUGUCCCAUAUAUCAAAGAGCUACUAACCAGAGUUCAGAGGCAGUUUUUGUGAUUCUCUGACUUAAUAUCUAAAUUCUUAUAUUAUACUCCCCGUUUCAGUUUAUGUGAA